GCUCGAUUAAAAACAGAAGUUUACGGAUACAACUGGGCCCGCUUUCCAUUUGUUUAUUAGGUGUCCGAAACAAAGUAGACAUCCUGAAACGUGGUGAUGAUACACUCCUGUUUGCUUGUCACGUUGGGGUCAAAGGGCAAGAUCCUGGCAUUUCCUGACAGUGCAUGCUGGAAGAAAAGGGAAUAGUUCAUCUCUCUAUAAGAAAAUGUUCUGGGAUCCCUUGACGAGGCAGAUCAUUAGAAUCCACUUCACAACAGUGUGUGUGAGAGAGAGAGGAAGGCGUAGAGAAGUAAAAGUGGGUGAGUACUCUUAGCAGGUGGCACAGAGAACAUGUCCGUCCUAAACAGACCCCUCACUGAUAACCUGGCCCAUCUGUUCAAUUCAAUCAAGGGAUUUACACUUGUGAUACCUGAGCUUGGCGAUCCGCCUUAAUCUUAAUUAUGAUACCAACUCCACGGUGCACAUGAGGACACAAUACACACACAAACACAUUACUGGA